AAUAGUUAUUCAGAGUUACUGAUGAGUAGCAUAGUCCAGAUGUCAACCACUUUGGCUUGGAGAAACUAGGAUUAAGCAGCUGGGUAGAGAGCUGACGCCCUUUAGGGUGCAGGAUUUUCUCUCUCGGGAUUUGAUGUAAUCUGUUGCUGACUCAUAGCAUUCCAAUCCACCCUAAUGUUCAACAUGGAUAUUUCUGGAGCAGACCUCAGCGGUCUUCACAUCUUGACCGGUCGAGCAACUGGACUACCCAGCAUGUGGUACUCACCACCCUCCUCUAAUGCCCUCUGCUGCAGCAGAGUUCAGCCAUGGAGAAGAAGGGUACAUUUUUAGGCUACUGAUUGCCCAGCUUCCGUGGACAAACAACAGGGGAGAAAGAUUUCCAGCUCGUUCUCUUGGUGAGCUUCCAGAGACAUCUGAUCUGUUCCUAUUGAAGGCAAGAUGCUGGAUUAGAUGGGCCUUGUUCUGAUCCAGCAAGACACUCCAUACUGCCAUACAUUCCUAGCUAAGUGUUCCUUUCACAACUUGCUCUCUUUUCAGGAUCAAGUCUUUAUACCUCUUUUUUGCUGCUGUUUUGGCUUCGGUUUCUCUGUCUGUACAAAGGAGUCUAAAGGCACCUCACAGACAUGUUCGAAUGGCUAAUUUGUUAUUCUCCAUACAGAGCUUUGCAAAUAAAGAAUGCCAAGCA